rnacentral:rRNA from 1 species
GACGAACGCUGGCGGCGUGCCUAAUACAUGCAAGUCGAGCGGACCGACCGAGUGCUUGCUCUUGUUUGGUCAGCGGCGGACGGGUGAGUAACACGUGGUCAACCUGCCCGCAAGACCGGGAUAACUCCGGGAAACCGUAGCUAAUACCGGAUAACACCGAAGACCGCAUGGGCUUCGGGUGAAAGGAGGCCUUUGGGAUGUUACUUGCGGAUGGGCCCGCGGCGCAUUAGCUAGUUGGAGAGGAAACGGAGCAACAAGGGGACGAUGAGUAGCCGGCCUGAGAGGGGGAGCGGCCACACUGGGACUGAGACACGGCCCAGAACACUACGGGAGGCAGCAGUAGGGGAUCUUCCGCGAUGGGCGAAAGCCUGACGGUGCGACGCCGCGUGAGCGAAGAAGGCCGUCGGGUCGUAAAGCUCUGUUGUGAGGUACGAAGGAGCGCCGUUCGAAGAGGGCGGCGCAGUGACGGUACCUCACGAGAAAGCCCCGGCUAACUACGUG